GGGUUGUUCAGGGGUUCCUGCGUGCCAAGCCUUUUGCGAAGAAAUUGUCUCUUCCCGCUUUUGUCCUGUGCAAUGCCUCAGCUUACCUUAUCUCCAGGUUUGGAAUUGACAACCACGAAUCUGAGACAUAUUUCCGCUCUAUUCCAUCACCCAUUCCGGAAAACCCUUAUUUCCUCAAUCCAGAUGAUCCUUACCCGACCCCAGAACCUGGCACCUGUCCCUGGCCAAGGUACACUUGCCCAGCUCAGAUGGAGUACAGAACAUU